rnacentral:rRNA from 1 species
GACAGAGGGUGCAAACGUUGUUCGGAAUUACUGGGCGUAAAGCGCGCGUAGGCAGUAGCGUGCGUCGGGCGUGAAAUCCCACGGCUCAACCGUGGAAGUGCACUCGAAACUGCGCAGCUAGAGUCUCGGAGAGGAAGGCGGAAUGCUUGGUGUAGAGGUGAAAUUCGUAGAUAUCAAGCGGAACACCGGUGGCGAAGGCGGCUCACUGGCCCGGUACUGACGCUGAGGUGCGAAAGCGUGGGGAGCAAACAGG